rnacentral:rRNA from 1 species
UGGGGAAUAUUGCGCAAUGGGGGGAACCCUGACGCAGCCAUGCCGCGUGAAUGAAGAAGGCCUUAGGGUUGUAAAGUUCUUUCGGUAUUGAGGAAGGUUGAUGUGUUAAUAGCACAUCAAAUUGACGUUAAAUACAGAAGAAGCACCGGCUAACUCCGUGCCAGCAGCCGCGGUAAUACGGAGGGUGCGAGCGUUAAUCGGAAUAACUGGGCGUAAAGGGCACGCAGGCGGUUAUUUAAGUGAGGUGUGAAAGCCCCGGGCUUAACCUGGGAAUUGCAUUUCAGACUGGGUAACUAGAGUACUUUAGGGAGGGGUAGAAUUCCACGUAUAGCGGUGAAAUGCGUAGAGAUGUGGAGGAAUACCGAAGGCGAAGGCAGCCCCUUGGGAAUGUACUGACGCUCAUGUGCGAAAGCGUGGGGAGCAAACAGGAUUAGAUACCCUGGUAGUCCACGCUGUAAACGCUGUCGAUUUGGGGGUUGGGGUUUAACUCUGGCGCCCGUAGCUAACGUGAUAAAUCGACCGCCUGGGGAGUACGGCCGCAAGGUUA